rnacentral:rRNA from 1 species
ACUCCUACGGGAGGCAGCAGUGGGGAAUAUUGCACAAUGGGCGCAAGCCUGAUGCAGCCAUGCCGCGUGUGUGAAGAAGGCCUUCGGGUUGUAAAGCACUUUCAGUUGUGAGGAAGGUGGUGUCGUUAAUAGCGGCAUCAUUUGACGUUAGCAACAGAAGAAGCACCGGCUAACUCCGUGCCAGCAGCCGCGGUAAUACGGAGGGUGCGAGCGUUAAUCGGAAUUACUGGGCGUAAAGCGCAUGCAGGUGGUUUGUUAAGUCAGAUGUGAAAGCCCGGGGCUCAACCUCGGAACUGCAUUUGAAACUGGCAGACUAGAGUACUGUAGAGGGGGGUAGAAUUUCAGGUGUAGCGGUGAAAUGCGUAGAGAUCUGAAGGAAUACCGGUGGCGAAAGGCGGCCCCCUGGACAGAUACUGACACUCAGAUGCGAAAGCGUGGGGAGCAAACAGGAUUAGAUAACCCUGGU